GGGCGGCCCGACUGGGUGCCCCCGGUCCACUCACUCGCUCUCCGAGCACGUGCGGGGACCCAGCGGUCCUGGGAGACGCGCGCUUCCUACCCUCCCCGCGGGGCGGCGCCAGUGAGCAAGGCCAGGAGCGCGGGGUCACUCCGUCCUCCCCUUCCCGCCUCUCUGCACAUGAGCCCCGAGUCCCCGGGGCCCCUGGAGCAGGCGGGUGGACCCCCCGACCGAGUCCGCUUAGAGAAGUCGGUGCGAGUUCAACGAACACGGUUGAACUAUCAGGGUCUUUAUCCCCGCCCGCAGGUCAAACCACUGACCUGAGAACCGGUUCGAAAGACCACGAGGACAUACCUGGAGUAUUUGAUGAAAUCCUAGUCCAAGAGAUUCUGGAACCCAAUAAAUCGACGUCUAAAAUGCCAACGGCAGGAACAACGCUAUCAACAAGAAUAUUCAAGGAAAAAAGCAAGUACACAUUUUUUUGUUUAGUGCGUGUCCGUGUGUAAGGAGCAUGCCUUUUACUUUUUAUUAUGUACUUAUUUAUUUUGAUCUGGACAAUUUACCUUUUUUUAAUUAAAGUGUAAUUGGUUUAAAGAAAUCAAAGUAUACGCUUGGAAAGCCUUCAUCGCACGUGUCCCCGGAGUCUGCGCGUAUGCGCACAUGCCUGUCCCGGCAGCUUUCUCGGAGGCCAGCUCUCCUGGGACAGCGGCAGGGAUGCGGGAAGGAAACGGCAUUCCAGAGGUUUCUGUGCUCUCCGGAGACUCGGGGAGUCAAACCUGGAGAUGCAGAGCCAAGCUCCCUGGAUUCCGUGGGGUCUCUGGGUGCAGGUGCAGGAGACGGGGAUGCAGGGGUCGGGGUUUAGCCUCCGCAGGCCCGGGGCCCCCAGAGACGGGUGCAUCCAGCUGCCCAGUCUGUCUGGUGCUCACCCAAGCCUUCGGAGGGCCCCCCGUGACCGCCACCCCAUCUGACGGGGUGCAUGAAGGUCUGAAGAGGCCGGCCCCAGGCCACAGAGCUGGCGGCCACCACAGCGAGCUUUCCCGGGGCAGCCCCCUGUGGCCCAAAGAUACACAGAUACUGCAACAGCCCCUGAGACGCAGGACAGGACUGUCCGUGGGCCUCGAUAGGGCGAGAGCCGCGGGUGGGCGUCUCCAGGCAGCGCCUGAGCCUGCGUUCAGCAGCGGGGAAGGUCCGCAUUUUCUCCACGUUUUGCAUCCAGAUGUAAAUUCCAGUUCUUAGGAUGAGCUCGAGCAACGUCUGGCGAGGCCCAGGCAGCGGGGUUCGAGGAGGUCAGGGGUCUGUUCAGACGCCGCAGCACGUGUUCCGGAGCCGCUGAGACGCGUUGGCGGCCAGCCUAGUGCGUUAGCCACGGCGGGGGUGGAUCACAGUGUCCCUGAGCUGUCCGCUUAUGGUCCCUCGUCUCUUCCGUGCUCUUCCUCAAAGAAGCCAGCCUCGAGGAGGAGGACGCCCCGUCGGCUGCUUCCGAGGGUCACCGUGUGCUCUCGGCGGUUCUCCCCGUCUCUCUCGGCCCUGAGGACAAGAUGGUCAACAACGAACCCAGUACUGACGACACCUACCAAGUCGGCGAGCCCGAGGGCUCCCCGGAGCCACAGUACCCCCCCGGCGUGGGAGACGUACUUCAGAAUAACGGAAAGAAGAAAUCGAAAAAUGAUCAGCACGAGAAACAAUCAGUUCUGGACAGGAUCCUGCAAAAUACUGAAAAAUCUCCAGGAAACUCCGUCCAGUAAAUGGAGGAGAGCGAGGCCCAGAGGAGGCGUGGAGAGCAGCCCGUGAGGCCGCUGGCUCCGAGGAGCCGCCACACAGGACGCACGGACUGCGUGACAACAGCCCCGUCCUCAGUAAUAAAGAGCCUAUGUGCACACACGUGUUGUUGGCCACCCCACACGCAGAAAGCUGCUCUCUUCCUGUCAACUCAAGUAGUUUGUUCGUUCGUCUUUCUAGGGCCUCAUCCGCAGCAUAUGGAGGUUCCCAGGCUAGGGGUCCAAUCGGA